AACGAACGCUGGCGGCAUGCCUAACACAUGCAAGUCGAACGAGACCUUCGGGUCUAGUGGCGCACGGGUGCGUAACGCGUGGGAACCUGCCCUUAGGUUCGGAAUAACUCCCCGAAAGGGGUGCUAAUACCGGAUAAUGUCUUCGGAGCAAAGAUUUAUCGCCUUUGGAUGGGCCCGCGUUGGAUUAGCUAGUUGGUAGGGUAAAAGCCUACCAAGGCGACGAUCCAUAGCUGGUCUGAGAGGAUGAUCAGCCACACUGGGACUGAGACACGGCCCAGACUCCUACGGGAGGCAGCAGUGGGGAAUAUUGGACAAUGGGCGAAAGCCUGAUCCAGCAAUGCCGCGUGAGUGAUGAAGGCCUUAGGGUUGUAAAGCUCUUUUACCCGGGAUGAUAAUGACAGUACCGGGAGAAUAAGCGCCGGCUAACUCCGUG
rnacentral:rRNA from 1 species